UCAAGCUAAUAAGAGCGCAGGGAGGAUGCCUUGGCAUUGGGAGCCGAAGAAGGACGUGGUAAGCUGCGAAAAGCUGCGGGGAAUUGCAAGCAAGUAUUGAUCCGCAGAUGUCCGAAUGGAGCAAUCCGUUAAGAGUAAUAUCUUAACAUCAUAUACUGAAUCAAUAGGUAUAUGAGGGGAACCGCCUGAACUGAAACAUCUAAGUAGGGCGAGGAAAAGAAAUCAACCGAGAUUCCGAAAGUAGUGGCGAGCGAAAUCGGAAGAGGCUAAACCGAACUCAGAAAUGAGAUCGGGGUUUAGGACUGCAUUUAGUAUUGAAAUGAGCGAGCAGAAUGCUUUGGGAAAAGCAGCCGAAGAACGUGAGAGCCGUGUAAGCGAAGUGAGUUUCAGCGAGCAGUAUCCAAAGUACCGCGGGGCACGUGAAAUCCCGUGGGAAGAUGGGGGGACCACCCUCCAAGCCUAAAUACUACCCAAUGACCGAUAGCGAAUAGUACUGUGAAGGAAAGGUGAAAAGCACCCCGGGAGGGGAGUGAAAAAGAACCUGAAACCCUGUGCUUACAAGCACUGAGAGCUCGUCAAAGAGUGAUCAGGUACCUAUUGUAGAAUGGUCCGGCGAGUUAUGAUAUGCAGCAAGGUUAAGUACUUAAGGUACGGAGCCGCAGCGAGAGCGAGUCUGAAUAGGGCGUAAAGUUGUAUGUCAUAGACCCGAAACCGAGUGACCUAGCCAUGUCCAGGCUGAAGUGGAGGUAAAACUCCAUGGAGGGCCGAACCGACCUCCGUUGAAAAGGCGGCGGAUGAGGUGUGGCUAGCGGAGAAAUUCCAAUCGAACUCGGAUAUAGCUGGUUCUCUCCGAAAUAGCUUUAGGGCUAGCGUUGCAACAGAUUACCGGAGGUAAAGCACUGAAUAGGCUAGGGGGCGAGAGCUUACUGAACCUUAUCAAACUAAGAAUGCCGGAUAAUUGAUUUGCAGCAGUCAGACAGUGUGAGAUAAGUUUCAUUGUCAAAAGGGAAACAGCCCAGACCCACAGCUAAGGUCCCAAAGUACAUUUGAGUGGAAAAGGAUGUGGGGUUGCAUAGACAACCGGGAUGUUGGCUUAGAAGCAGCCAUACAUUAAAAGAGUGCGUAAUAGCUCACCGGUCGAGUGACCCUGCGCCGAAAAUUCAACGGGGCUAAAAUGUACACCGAAGCUUGGGAUUGUACUAUGUACAGUGGUAGGAGAGCGUCGUAUGAGAGGAGAAGUCAGAGCGGAAGCGCUGGUGGAUUUCAUACGAGUGAGAAUGCCGGAAUGAGUAGCGAGAAUUAUGUGAGAAUCAUAAUGGCCGAAAGUCUAAGGUUUUGGAAGGAAGGUUCGUCCGCUUCCAGUAAGCCGGGAGCUAAGGUGAGGCCGAAAGGCGUAGCCGAUGCACAUACGGUUGAAAUUCCGUAGCCUCCGAAGUAUUUAAACAGAAGGACACUUGAGAAGUGAUGUUGCCGGGCGAUGGUUGACCCGGUCGUAAGGGACCGAAAUUUAGUAGGGAAGUCAUCAUGGAUCGAGGCGAGAAAAGUUCUGUGAAUAUACAAGGAGCCCGUACCGCAAACCGACACAGGUAGAUAGGAAGAAAAUUCUAAGGCCAACGGGAGAAGGGUUGUUAAGGAACUCGGCAAGUUGACCCCGUAACUUCGGAAUAAGGGGUGCUCUCGAGAGAGAGCCGCAGAGAAUAGGCCCAGGCGACUGUUUAGCAAAAACACAGCUCUAUGCUAAAUCGAAAGAUGAUGUAUAUGGGGUGACACCUGCCCGGUGCCGGAAGGUUAAGAGGAGGCGUGAGAGCGCUGAAUUGAAGCCCCGGUAAACGGCGGCCGUAACUAUAACGGUCCUAAGGUAGCGAAAUUCCUUGUCAGGUAAGUUCUGACCCGCACGAAUGG
rnacentral:rRNA from 1 species